rnacentral:lncRNA from 1 species
GCACCUUAAAACAAGAAAAUGAAGAAAAAACAAAUGUUAAUAUGCUGCACAAAAAAAAUCGAGAAGAAUUAGAAAGGAAAGAGAAACAAUAUAAGAAAGAAGUUGAAGCAAAACAACUUGAACCAACUGUUCAAUCACUAGAGAUGAAACCAAAGACUGCAAGAAAUACUCCAAAUCAGGAUUUUCAUAAUCAUGAAGAAGUGAAAGAUCUGAUGGAUGAAAAUUGCAUUUUGAAGACAGAUAUUGCUAUACUCAGACAGGAAAUAUGCACAAUGAAAAAUGACAACCUGGAAAAAGAAA